rfam:Myotis davidii contig20042, whole genome shotgun sequence.
GGCGGAGCUCAGGUGAUGCACCCCAGAAUCAGGCUCCCUCCUCUCUGGUUCUGGGUGCAUCCCCCAAGAACCACA